rfam:Ictidomys tridecemlineatus contig014365, whole genome shotgun sequence.
GGGGAUUUAGCUCAGUUGGUAGAGUGCUAGCCUUGCAUGCAUAAGGCCUUGGGUUCAAUCCCCGGCACCACCA